rnacentral:rRNA from 1 species
AUUGAACGCUGGCGGCAGUCCUAACACAUGCAAGUCGAACGAGUGGCGGACGGGUGAGUAAUGUCUGGGAAACUGCCCGAUGGAGGGGGAUAACUACUGGAAACGGUAGCUAAUACCUCAUACCAUCGGAUGUUCCCAGAUGGGAUUAGCUAGUAGGUGGGGUAACGGCUCACCUAGGCGACGCUCCCUAGCUGGUCUGAGAGGAUGACCAGCCAAACUGGAACGGAGACACGGUCCAGACUCCUACGGGAGGCAGCAGUGGGGAAUAUUGCACAAGGGGCGCAAGCAUGAUGCAGCCAUGCCGCGUGUAUGAAGAAGGCCUUAGGGUUGUAAAGUACUUUCAGCGAGGAGGCGUUACUCGCAGAAGAAGCACCGGCUAACUCCGUGCCAGCAGCCGCGGUAAUUC